CACGGCUGUGACAGCAGGUAAAUUGUGCCCCACACACCCAGCAGACCUCUGUGCCAAGAUGAGAAUUCUCCACUGCUAGCACCUGCCAGGGCUGACUUCUCUGCAGCCUGUCUCGUCAGCACAGGAGGGGAGAGAGAGCCUUGCUCUCAGGCCCCAGGACUCAGCAUCCGGACCACACUGAGACUCCGGACUCCUCCGCGUCUCCUGCCUGGAUGGCCUUUCCUUCCUUAGUCUUAGCAGGACGCCUGAGUGGCAGAAUUCAAGGCCAGCCUUGUCUUCAUUAUUAGCCACAGGAAAGCCAGAGUUACAGAGUCAGAACCUGCCUCAUUCAUAAAGACAAACAAACAAAUAAGGGAAUGUAAAAUGAGGAAAAAAAAUCUUUAAACAUCACUCAUUGUAUGUAAAUAUCAUAUAAAAAGAGUUCUUAUGGUUUAAUAAUAAAAGACAAGCCAACUUAAAAAUGGUCAAGGAAGCUGGGUACGGUGGCUCACGCCAGUAAUCUCAGCACUUGGGAGACUAAGGAAGGAGGAAUCAGAAUGUGAGGCC
rnacentral:lncRNA from 1 species